GAUGAACGCUAGCGGCAGGCCUAAUACAUGCAAGUCGAGGGUAAGGCUCAUUUCGGUGAGUACACGACCGGCGCACGGGUGCGUAACGCGUAUGCAACCUACCUUUAACAGAGGGAUAGCCCGAAGAAAUUCGGAUUAACACUUCAUAACACUGUGAAUCGGCAUCGAUUUAUAGUUAAAACUCCGGUGGUUAAAGAUGGGCAUGCGUGACAUUAGUUUGUUGGUAAGGUAACGGCUUACCAAGACUACGAUGUCUAGGGGUUCUGAGAGGAUGAUCCCCCACACUGGUACUGAGACACGGACCAG
rnacentral:rRNA from 1 species